rfam:Gossypium arboreum cultivar AKA8401 contig_26503_3, whole genome shotgun sequence.
AAUCCAUGCAUCGAACAUUUUUGAAGUAAUUCUUUAAAUAGUUCCCAAGCUUCAUAUAGUGUUUCAUCCUCAGAUUGUCGAAAAGAAGAGAUGUCCUUUCUAAGCUU